ensembl:lncRNA
CAGGACCGGGAUGAACCUUUGGGGAUCCCCAAAAGUUGCCCCAACAGCUACUGGGACGUGGCCAGAGGAGAAGGGGCUGCACAUCAUGCCUGGUGCUGGCUCUGCUGAACCCCAGGAGCCUUGGGACAAAUGAAGAAAAUGACAGGCUAGAGGGAAAUUAAUAGAGCAGAAAAUUUGAAAUGAUGUGGAAAUAAUUCUUCUGGCUUAAGGAGAGCUCCUCGUAUGCUUAAUUUCAGAACACAACUGUUUGCAUGUUGCUAAAUUACAGUAUCAAGGCAAGGAGCCCUGACUGGAGCUUAUGGGACACGGGGACAUUUCCACUCGUGUGGAGAGCUUUCCCACCUGGAGCAAGCAGAUGGAGUCCAAAGCCCGAAGUCCAGAAGAAGCACACGCCGCCGUCCUCCACCUCAGCCUGGCAGCCCCAGCAGGAGCCAUCGCAGCCCCUCGCCAUCCUCAUGCCCAGGUUAAGCCAACCCUUGCCGUACAGACCGCAGCAGUACAGGACGGUGAGGAUACUCCCUGUUCCUCAGAGCCUGGAUUUCCCACCUGGGUAGGACCUUCUGGGCCAUCUCCAUGUCACACUGAACUUUUCAGGGUCCUGAGGUUGUCCCUGCUGCUCUGCCUCUACCUGGCCAGAAGCCAUACGCCACAGCAGUGAAACACAGCCUGAAGCUGGCCCCAGCUCCCCACAGGGUGAUGCCAGAACCAGAUACCCCACAGGUUAGAAGAAGGGGAGCCUGGUGGUGUCCUCACUCCUGAGUUGAGCCCUCUUUCAGAAUCCCACGGCUCCGACAAGCUGUCAGCACAGAUCUGGGUAGCUGUAUAUCAUCGACAGCAGCCCAGACAUCCUUCACCAUCCUCCUCCAUGUACAGAGCUGUCCAAACCUCUGUGCAAACACAUAGAGCCUUCUGUACAUUUAAAUGGCCCUAAACUAGAGUGCAUGAUCUGGAGAAAUGGCACAAGAUUUAGAAACCCCUGGGGGUGUCACCAUCCCUUGAUUUACAUAGGGUCUGAGCCCCCCUCAGGCAGGAAGAACCCCCUGGGAUGCUUCCAGUCACCCAGACGCAGGAGCAAAGUGACAUCUGGUGACACAGUGGGGAAGUCCUGCACAUGCAACCUCCAGCUCACCAAGGAGUGAGACACAGCAGGGCUGCGGAGGGCCCUGAGGAGGCAAAGCUGGACCUGAGUCACCCGGAGGGACCUCGGCUCGUGGUCAGAGGCCACCCUCGCUGCUGGGGACCUCCCAGGGCGGGCACACUGCGACCAGCCCAGCUACUGGCAGCUGGAGCUGGGAGAAAACUGGACCAUGAAGAUCAACCAGAAAAUCCAAGAACAAUAAAUUCAAUUGGAAAAAAAAAAAAAAUAUAUAUAUAUAUCUAUUAACUAUACCAGGUGGGUGGGGUGGGGGUUAUUUGCUUGCUAUGGCAUGGGUGAACAUUCAGCUGGCCCAGCAUCGCCCACCAGUGACUCCAGUCCACUGGAGAGCGCACUGGAAGAGCCAUCCCCUUCCUCAGAGGGGAUGCACAGUGGCCUGGGGCAGCAAGGAGCAGAACGGGGAGGACAGCAGAGGAAAGGCAGCAGAGACAGGGCGAGGAUUACUCACGCUGCCAGAGCAGCAGCUGCUGGCUUUGGCGUGAUGGUGGGAGCAAGGAUGGGCCCGUGGCGCUGCGGGGUGGAGCGUGUGUGUCAGAGAAACCCCUGGCUGCUUGCUGUGUUGUGCCAACAAUAGCGUGUAAAGCGCUGUCUGCACGAGAGGAUUCGCGUGUCGAGCGCUCCCCGGGGCCGUGGGAUCUCUGCUCGCCGCUGGAGGCGAGGGCAGAGCUGCAGAAAGGGUCUGGAAGCAGCACCCGCUGCACUGGGCAGAGCAGGGGAGGCA